CCCUUUUGUUCUGUAAUUUCAAGUCCAAAGAUACCUUCAAUAGGAACUUGUCUCAUUUUCAGCAUUUUGAAGCACUAGUUGGUAAUACUUAAUGGGCCGGGCUCGUUAGAACGAGUGGCAGUUUUGAAAUAUCACGACCAUCUCUCAGUGUCUCCGUCGUCUUCUGAUUUUCCUCCUAAUCGGAGAAGAAGGGCUACCAAAUCCCCCUUUUCCGUCGUCGUUUUCUAAGGCAUCGAAACCUUGGUCCUUCGAAUUCGUGGUUUUCUGAUUCUUCCCGGCGCUCCUCACGUGUAUGGCAGCCCGAGCGCGCGGCGCUCUCGAUUGGUUCCAUGGUCUGAUCUUCCGCGAAUCGCAAUCCGACUGUGGCGAUUACGUCGGCACAAAACCAAUCGGCGAACGUGGAUCUCUUCGAUGCGUAUUUCCGACGAGCUGGUUUGGACGGCGAUGAUCGGAUUAGUGGCAAUGAAGCCGUCGCUUUCUUCCAGGGCUCCGGUCUCCCCAAACAGGUCCUUGCGCAGAUAUGGGCACGUGCAGACCAGAGGCGGACUGGUUCCUUGGUCGGGCAGAGUUUUACAAUGCCCUUAGAAUUGUCACUGUGGCACAAAGUAAGAGAGAACUUACGCCAGAAAUGGUGAAGGCAGCCUUAUAUGGCUUGGCUGCGGCUAAAAUACCUGCACCUAAGAUAUAUCUUGCAGCGACUCCUGCGCCUUAGUUCAGUUCUGCUGCUGCUGCUGCAGCAGCACUUGACUUUCAAGGUGGUGCUGUCACUCUGACAUCCUUGCGAAAUCUUGGGUUCAGGGGACUGCAAGUACCACCUCAGUAUAAUUCUGCUGGAGCAGCAAAUGCCGCUCAGGGUGGUGCUGUCACUUCGACGUCCUGCCCAAACUUGGGUUUAGGGGACCACAAAUACAAUCUCAGUUUAAUUCUGCUCCAACAGCUACUCAGAGUGGUUUAGGGAGGGACGCCCUCUUCCAGCAGUGCUACCAAUCAAUGUUAUGUUUGAUGUAUCCAAUAUUUUUCAACUUGCAAAUAAUUUCUCCAAUGCUGGCAAUGUAGCCCGGAGACCUGCAUCUGGCUUUCAAGGCAGCCGAUGCCAAUUGCUCCUUCUCAUGAUGAGGAAAUGCGGCAACUGAGUACAGAGGAGGUUAACUCACUGAACUCAAAGUUCAAAGAAGCAACCGAAGCUAAUAAAAAGGUACUUGGAAAUUUUGUAUUUCAUUUCUUUGUGUAUGCAUCUCGCUUUUUCUUCAUUUUUUUUUCUUUUAGCUUGUUACACAACGUAUAAUUUUUCCCCUUAACUUUUGAAUGGUCCUAGUCCUAUUGAAGCAAAGACCCCUAUAGUUUUCUCGUUGUUACAAAUUUGAUGAUUGUAUUAUUAAACUGGGGCUGUGCCUUUUGUUUUUCGGCCUUAAUUUGCUGUAAUUUUUAACCUGCUCUAAUAAAAUUUGUUUUGCUGAU